GGUUUGAAACCACGUGGAUGCAAUUACAAAAAAAAAUGACUCAGGUCCAAAAAAAUAAAAAGCCUUGAGCCACAUGCUGCUUCACCAGUCUUUUAUCACACGCAGCGUUUUGUGUUGCUUCGUACAGUAAUUCCCAAAGGCAGAGUUGGUUUAUUUUCAUUUGAGUUUAUAAAUAUGCAUUACUGUAUCUGCAGCAACAGCUAUGCUAAGCGUCCAGCUGUUCCCAGUUAAUUCCCGUUAACGUCUUAAAUAAGUUCUAUGGAGUGGGUGGCAGACCUUUGUGAAAAGGUGCGCUUGGAUGAGUUUGGUGUAAAAAGAGCAAGCCUUUCGGAGGAUCAAAAGUGGAGACGGUGGAAAAUCAGUGGCAAAGGCUCGAACCGCACCACAGUCCCUCCACUUCCUGUUUGUCGGAAUGCGUCGAUUUACUUUUGUCUAUGCUGAGAGACAUUCUUGCGGUCAACAGUCACAGACUCAAAUAGCCUCUGACGCAGUGUCUGCUCAACACAUGGCCUCCUCCAUCGCCUCGUCAGUCACCGACCGCCGUGCAAACAGUGCAACACCUCCUCCCAUCAGGAGCAGCCUGGGAAUUACCGAUAACGUAGUGAUAAUUCUGAGGCACAAGCGAAGCCUUGACGUCACAAGCAAGUGAUGAGAGAAAGCGAUGACACGGAUUAAGUGAUAAAUAGGAAGGAGAGCAGUAGAGGCAUCUCUUCGUCUGCUGUUCGAGGUUCUGGGAAGUCGACCGGACCCCUUCCUGCAAGUCCCACUUGAGCAGGGGGCCAUCCAUCAGCCCAGACACAUUGAGCUAUGUCAGCACGUCAGGAUAAGGAGCUGGGAAGACGGGAUGGAUGGCAGCAAGCUAUGUCGAGAGGUCACAUGGGGUCCUGGUGGCAGGACGGGAUGAGAUGGGGGGUGGGGGGGGGGGGUGAUGACGUAAUGCGUAUGAGACCGGUGGAAAAAAAGAUUGCGGUGGGACAAGUUUCCCCACUCUAAAAACCAGGAAGAACGUUGGGCAUCUCAUGGGGGUGAAACAUGGUUUUCAGCAUUUGGAGGAUUUUGUUCAUGAAAGGAGGACUAAUGAAGCCAAUUAGAGCACAACUACCCGUCUCGUCAGGCCAACGCUGACCUGAUAGGAAGCCAUUACGGAUGUGUGUGUGUGUCUCUCUCUCUCUCUCUCUCUCUCUCUCUCUCUCUCUCUCUCUCUCUCUCUCUCUCUCUCUCUCUCUCUCUGCAAUAACACCACCUUUGAUAAGUUGCCUCAUCCUAUUAUCACAUGGCAUUAUGAGUGUAAAUCAAUCACAGGCAGGAAGUGAUCCGGGUGGGUACAGGUAGACAGGAAAUUAGAAAAGAAGGUGGUGACAAGAAGGAAAAAAAAAUAACAUAAAAUCAACAGGAAAUUGGACAUUCAGGAAGUAGCUGACAGUGCUGUGCGGAAGAAAAUAAAUUCAGCCCCAAAGUUUCACUUGGCAACCUAAAGUUUGGAAGGCAUGUCAUUGUGAGUCCACCCGGAUGUCCGAAAAACCAAAAUACCACAAAAAGUCAGACAUGUUGGUUUGAAGUGGCCAUCGUGUCAAAGACACAAGACCAACGUUUGUUUACAAAAACAACGAAAAGAAAGGUUAGCUAAUUAGUUCAAUUGUCAUCCAAAAAAUAAAUAAAUAAUCUGACAGUGAAACGCAGCUAAAACUUCAAAACAUAAGCUGACAAGGAAACGAUGGCCUUUUAUCCGACAUGCUUUCCCUCA